GUGAAUCAUCAAAUUUUUGAACGCAAAUUGCACUCUCCUCGGAGAGUAUGCCUGUUUGAGGGUCAGCCUAUAAAAAAUCGACAUCGUUGCUGUUUCGCGGUGGCAUUCGUCGGAAAUUGGGUCAUCUUAAGUCCUUUUGGUUUUUAAGCGACUUAAAAUUUUCUUUUUGGUUCCAUGAACGUUUCUAAGAUUUAUUUCUUUACACGUUUAUGGUAUCGAUUUUUAUUAGACGUGACUUUCAGAUCUGUUUGCUUCCUUAAUCU
rnacentral:misc_RNA from 1 species